rnacentral:rRNA from 1 species
GAUGAACGCUGGCGGCGUGCUUAACACAUGCAAGUCGAACGAAGCGCUUGAGAACAAUUCUUCGGAGGCGUUCUCUUGUGACUGAGUGGCGGACGGGUGAGUAACGCGUGGGUAACCUGCCCUAUACAGGGGGAUAACAGUUAGAAAUGACUGCUAAUACCGCAUAAGCGCACAGGACCGCAUGGUUCGGUGUGAAAAACUGAGGUGGUAUAGGAUGGACCCGCGUCUGAUUAGCUUGUUGGUGGGGUAACGGCUCACCAAGGCGACGAUCAGUAGCCGGCCUGAGAGGGCGACCGGCCACAUUGGGACUGAGACACGGCCCAA